GGGCGGGGGCUCACCGGGCCGGUCCCCACGGUUCCAGCUAUUCCUGGGGCACGCGGAAGCCAGGUGCUGGAGGCGAGCACGUCACCUCUGUACGUUCGAGCGGAGAACCGCGGGUGUCAGUAGAGCCGGAUGAGCCGCAGCCCAAGCUUGUGCUCGGGCAGUGUUCUGGCUCGGCUGCUUACCAGGGUGUUUAAGUGCAAAAGUCCCCAAGGAUGUUCAGAUCCAUCUGCUGCUGCUGAUUCGUUAGUGGUGUCUGCUGAGUGGACUGGACUGCAGCUGCUGAUUCCUGCUGGUGUUUUGCUGGUGGACUGGAAUGCUGACAAUGAAGAUUAGAAUAGCCCCAAAGAACUACUUCUAAACAGGGUGAGCAUUUCACCACGAGCCACCACCAUGAUAUGCUGUUUACCUCAGGCCCAGAGACGUGGUCACAUGCAGAAAGGACACGUGAGCAUGUGUUUGUGUGACAGUCUUGGGAAAACAGAAUCUCCUGUAUCAUCUGAGAUCAUUUAACUUCUGAGAAGACAAGCUGUAUGCAUACCAAAAAUACCACCCGCAAGAUAUAAAUGCAAGACAGAAGUUACAAAAUCAACUUCUUCUCCCUCACUGCUCCUUGAGUCCUCCUCUGGGCACGGUGGGCCAGUAACAAGCAUAUUUAUUUAGCUGGCAACAUUUUUUUUUUACAAUACUACAGGGAGAAACUGAGUCUGUCACGUGUAUUCCUGGUCUCUCUGAGAACAGGUAGGAGGGAGUACACCCUCCCUCACUGCACUGGUAAUGCUUGCUUCAGAGGGUCCUUUCCACACACCCUGGCUGACACAGUGAGCAGGUGUCUAAACUUCUUACCUUGUAUCUUUUAAUCCUUUCUUUCAUCUUCAAAAAUAUGGAGCUUAAGUAUCCACAGUUUUCAUGUCAGUGAUAGCAAAGCCGGGCUGCUUUUGUAAGUGGUUUGAGGGCCUGUGAGAUGACUUAGACUAUAACAGUGCUUGUUAUGCCAGUCUGAUGAUCUGAGUUCCAUGUUCAGGUCCCACAGUGGAAGGCAGGGAAUGUGUUCUCUAGCCCCCAUGUGAUAGCUACACUCAUACACACAUCACAUACACACAAAUGAUGAUGGUCUGAUGUUGGUAGUGAUGAUAGUGUGGUGAUGAUGAUGGGUCUGGAGAGAUGACAGCGGUUAGGAAACUGUUCUUCCAGAUCCUAGGUUCUGUUCACAGCACCUAUAUCAGAUAGCCCAUAACCACCUGUAACUGUGGCUCCAAGGAAUUUGACACCUCUUCCCUCCAUGAACAUUUACAUGCAUAUAUGUACAUACCCAUUCACAGACACAUAUGCAUAUAUGUGUAUAUAUGCAUAUACAUCUCUGAACUUCUCAGUGGACAAACGUUUGGUUCACCAUGCCCCUUCUCCUCCUGGCCUGGUUUCCGUCUUGUGGUGAUGACUCCGUAUGUGCUAGUGAGCUUCACUGAGAAGCAAGUGUGUGCCAGUAUUUCCCUCAGGCACAGUGACUAAUCCUGAGAGGUGCUCAGCUAGAACCUGCUUCCAAUGCAUGGGUGACCACGAACUAAAUACAUAAUACUCCAGGCAAGCAUGAGUGCCUUCCUCUCUGCAGCUCCUUAGCCUCCCAGAACCACAAGAGGAGUUUUACACAGACCUCCGAGAUGCAUUGCUGUCAGGAUCUGAAGACAACAUUAGAAAACCAAAGAUGGUUUUCACUCUGUUUUUAUAAUAAUAAGAUGCUGUGUACACC
ensembl:lincRNA Gm6277 predicted gene 6277